UCGAGCGGACAGAUGGGAGCUUGCUCCCUGAUGUUAGCGGCGGACGGGUGAGUAACACGUGGGUAACCUGCCUGUAAGACUGGGAUAACUCCGGGAAACCGGGGCUAAUACCGGAUGGUUGUUUGAACCGCAUGGUUCAAACAUAAAAGGUGGCUUCGGCUACCACUUACAGAUGGACCCGCGGCGCAUUAGCUAGUUGGUGAGGUAACGGCUCACCAAGGCAACGAUGCGUAGCCGACCUGAGAGGGUGAUCGGCCACACUGGGACUGAGACACGGCCCAGACUCCUACGGGAGGCAGCAGUAGGGAAUCUUCCGCAAUGGACGAAAGUCUGACGGAGCAACGCCGCGUGAGUGAUGAAGGUUUUCGGAUCGUAAAGCUCUGUUGUUAGGGAAGAACAAGUACCGUUCGAAUAGGGCGGUACCUUGACGGUACCUAACCAGAAAGCCACGGCUAACUACGUGCCAGCAGCCGCGGUAAUACGUAGGUGGCAAGCGUUGUCCGGAAUUAUUGGGCGUAAAGGGCUCGCAGGCGGUUUCUUAAGUCUGAUGUGAAAGCCCCCGGCUCAACCGGGGAGGGUCAUUGGAAACUGGGGAACUUGAGUGCAGAAGAGGAGAGUGGAAUUCCACGUGUAGCGGUGAAAUGCGUAGAGAUGUGGAGGAACACCAGUGGCGAAGGCGACUCUCUGGUCUGUAACUGACGCUGAGGAGCGAAAGCGUGGGGAGCGAACAGGAUUAGAUACCCUGGUAGUCCACGCCGUAAACGAUGAGUGCU
rnacentral:rRNA from 1 species